AGGGAAACGGAAAAUGGAAUUUGUUUUGACUGAACAGAUUUGGUUGUAGAUCCGUUACAGCAUAACACAAGAAAUACGGAAGAAAAGAACGGUAGUUGACGUCUGUGGGCUGUAGGACCUACACAAUGGAAACACGCACUUGAGCCCGAGUUGGGAGUUCUGGAAACCCCCCAAGACAACCAUACACGGCACUUUAUAAUCUGAGACGAGUAAUAUACAAAGAUGUAAUUGCACAUUAGGAGGGCUUCUUUAGCGUUAUUCAAAUGGCUAUAUUGAUGCCUUUAUCUUACAUCAUACAUAAACUGAUUAAAAAAAAACAGCUUAAGAUCGACCACUUAGGCUACAUCCUGUUCGAGUUGACAUAAUUAUUAUAAACGAAUACAUAUAUAAAUAGCUUAAAUACAUAAAACAUAAACAUAAUACAACUAUUAUUCAUUAAGUUACUCACAUGAAAUUGUGUUAAUGAUUCGGGAAUAUCGGCUACCCUGACAGUGGUUUCGCUUUCUUGGCUCUUUCCGGAGUUUAGGCGAGUUAUUGUUGUCAGCACAUGUUGCUUCCUUGUUCUGUUCUGGUAAAGCACUCCACGUUCCUCAUGCGGGCUGAUGUAGUGAGUUGUAUUAUAACCUCAGUUGCGACGAAACUCUCGCAGCGGGCUUCUCCAAAUGAGCGUUAUUGGCAAGAGAGGGCGGGACUUUCAGGAAGUAAGAGACCGGAGAUGACGAUGUGAUAGACCGGGAUAAACGCUACCGUUCAGGAUCCUCCCCUUCGUCCACGUUACUCAUUCAGCGCUGGCAUGCGUCUGGGGCUGUUGUAGUGACGUCAUGUUACCGUCAGUGUGACUCACUUCCGAAGCGCGAUGAGCAAUGCAAUGAGUUAUAACAACAAUGCUUUUUACUACACCCCAGUCCAAAUAUGGACGGCUACGUUGGAACCAAAGGUGUGCUUUAACUCCAAAACCACACGGGUGAAAGUGUCAUUAAGACUCAAUGCAUGGCGAUCUUAUUUCAUAGAAGCAUAGCCUGCCGUAUUUGUGACAUUGCCACCACAUCAUUUUUUCUGUGCGUUUUUUUACUGAUGAUAAAGAUGACAAUCAAAGCAUUUACAUUUGACGCAAGGAAUUUGAUAGCCUACCCCUAGAAAAUGCCAUAUUUGUUCGUGACAAAAAUAAGUCACUGACAUUUAAUGCACAGCUUUCUUUGUGAAUAAAUGAAAUAGCUGUUUAAUUGUAGCUGUUUCUAUCAUACAUAUAAUGUAUAAAGAAGCUUUCACUAUUCAUCCACAAUUGUAAUAUAAUUAGAUUUGGUAGGUUUGUCUGGGUAGUAUUGAUAGUAAUAAUUAUUGGAUCGGAUUGCGUUAUUCCUUCCAUGAUAGUCUGUCUUGUCUUUCUAUGAACACUAGAGGGCAGGCUGGUGUCCUAUACAGCUGCUCACUCCUCCUUUCCCACUCUUCCAGAGGACAGUUGGUCAGAUAGCUGCACAUUCUACAUGGCAUCAUUCAGUUAAAU
rnacentral:lncRNA from 1 species